rnacentral:lncRNA from 1 species
AUGUGUGUAUGUAUUUAUAUUCCCUUUCUUAUAUUGUCUCCCAUCAUGGUCUAUCCCCAGAGAGUGCAUAUAGUUCCCUGCGCUCUGCAGUAGGACCUUGUUUUUUAUCCAUUCUAAAUGUAAUAGUUUGCAUCUACUAACCCCAAACUCCUAGUCCAUCCCACCCCCCCACAACCCCUUGGCAACCACAAGUCUGUUCUCCAUGCCAAACCUGUAAUUCUUAAUUUGAACUGUCUCCACUGAACGUCAAUUUUUGAUGUUGUUUUUGCAGUAAUAUGUUUCAUUUCCAGAGGGAGAAAUUUCCUUUUUUACCCCUCCCUGCUUUUAAAAAAAAAGUAAAUACGAUUAUACACAUAGAAAGUUCACCUAAGUGUACAGUUCAGUGGCUUUUCACAAUGUGAACACACCUGUGUAAUCAUUAUUGAGAUACAGAACAUUAUCAAAACCCUGGACAGUAUCUUGUGCUGUAUUCUGAUCGGUAACUCCCCACGCCCAUGGCAAACCACUACUUUGAUGUCUAGUAUUAUAAUGUUUUCUAGUUUUGAACUUUAACUUCCUUUAUAAACAUUAUUGCAUUUUAUCCUGUUUUGAUACAAGUAAUGUGAGAAAUCCUAGAACUCAAUCUAGUUUAUACCUAGCCAUCUCAGCCCUUUGACUUAGACAUUGUUCUCAUGGUGUUCAUAGUUUUCAGGAACACUUAGAUGGGGAAGUUAAAGAAAAGCUUUCUUUGCUUUCGGAUUGUGUGGUAGACCCUGUUUGUGUUUUAAUGUUAUUUGGGUAAACAGGAUACUUUUAGUUUCUGUCAUUGGUGGCCUACAAGAGUACCUCAGCUUUUUUUCUUUUCUUCCCACGUAAAAAUUUUGUUUUGAAAACUUUGGUACAGCAUUCCAGACCAGCUAAUGGCUUUUUGGACUUUUAUCUUAUGACUUGGCAGCUUACUUUUCAUUCUUUGAAUUCCUUGCAAGCAGUGAUUCCCAUUCUCAUUUUUAUGACAGCUACCCUGUGGUAUCCUCUAUUAUUUCAAAGAAUGUUAUGAGUACCCACCCCUUCUCUUGCUUCCCCUCUCAUAAAAAGUCCUAGGUUAAGUCAUUUUACUUUAAAAAUAUUUAUUUUGUAUUUAUGAACAAUAUAACAUUGUGUGCAGAUUACAAAUCUAAUUAUAGGCUACUAAAAAACUGAGAGCAAUACUUAGCAUCCCCUUUCAGGCUAGGGGUCGAAUCGGAGCUGUAGCCACCGGCCUAUGCCAGAGCCACAGCAACGCGGGAUCCGAGCCACGUCUGCAAUCUACACCACAGCUCACGGCAACGCCGGAUCCUUAACCCACUGAGCAAGGGCAGGGACCGAACCCGCAACCUCAUGGUUCCUAGUUGGAUUCGUUAACCACUGCGCCACGACGGGAACUCCCACUUUCUUAAUUUAAAGAAAGGUGUAGGAAAGAUUUAUUACUGUACAUAAUUUUUCUUUCACGUAAGUACCACAGUUAGCCUAGAAGAUAAAUUUAAUUUCCUUUAUGAACAUAUUUUGGUUUUUGUCAGCACCAGAAUAUUUUAAAUGACCUGUAGCUGUUCAAGAAUAAUUUGAGUAAUAUGUUUUAUACCUAGUGGCCUUUUUUUUUUUUUUUUUUUUUUUUUGCUUUUUAUGGCUGCACCUUCGGCAUAUGAAAGAAAGUUCCCAGGCUAGGGGUUGAAUUGGAGCUGCAGCUGCUGCCCUGCACCACAGCCACAGCAGUGCCAGAUCCAAGUUGUGUCUGUGACCUACACCAGAGCUCAUGGCAAUGCCAGAUCCUUAACCUACUGAGUGAAGCCAGGGAUCAAACCCGAAUCCUCCUGAAUACUAGUUGGGAUCAUAAACGCACUGAGUCACAACAGGAACUCUGUAGUGGUCUUUAAUUUGGUGGACUUUCAUUUACCUUUGUGGAAAGUGUUAUGCAAAAAUUUAGACUAAUUUCUAAAAAACUUUCUUUUAACCUGGAGAUUUUUAAAAUUUGACUUUAGAUGUCAUGUUAUAGCAGCAUAUCUCAUGAAGAGUGAAGGAGGGAGUAAAUGGCUUUUGUGUAGAUUAUAGAAUUACCGCUAAAUUUGAAUAAAUGCUGUUCUUACUUGGUUAAUGAGUCAGGACAUUUCCGGCUUUGACCUAAGGCACGGCACUUUUAUGGAUAGGUACUUUCCUUUCUGUAGACAGCAAAAUUUCACUAAGAAAAUUUUGAUUCCUUUGUAUAAAACCUUAAGUCAGUGGUUCUCAAACUUUAGCAUACAUCAUAAUCACCUGGAAUUUUGCUUGUUUUUAUUUUUUAAAAACAACGCAUGGCUAGGCCCCAUGUGUCAGAUUUAAUAGAUAGGAAAUUGCACUUUGAGAACCCAUACUAGGGUAUGGUGAGGUCACCUACACUUAAAAACACAUAAAAACCUCUCACAGGUGAUUCUGAUAUACAUUGUAGCUGAGAACCUUUGAGCCUUAUUUCUUUCUUUUUUGUUUUUUUUUGUCUUUUUGCCAUUUCUUGGGCCACUCCCUCAGCAUAUAGAGGUUCCCAGGCUAGGGGUCUAAACAGAGCUGUAGCCACCGGCCUACACCAGGGCCACAGCAACACGGGAUCCAAGCUGCGUCUGCGACUUACACCAUAGCUCACAGCAACACUGGAUCCUUAACCCACUGAGCAAGGCCAGGGAUCGAACACAAAACCUCACAGUUCCUAGUCCGAUUCGUUAACCACUGAGCCAUGACGGGAACUCCUUUUGAGCCUUAUUUUUCCAAAUAUGGUCCUGGGAACGUCACUUGGGAAUCCGUUAAAAAUGCAAAUUAUUUCAGACUCUGGAGUGUAACCUAGAAAUCUGUUUUAAACCAGCCCUCUUAGUGAUUCUGAUGUGUGCCAAAGCUUGAGAAUCAUCCUUUUAACUCAAAAGUGUCCUUUCUUGGCACCUGUCUGAAAACUUGUUAGAAGUAAAUUUCAGGCCUCACUUAGACCUUCUGAAUAACAGAAUUUCAUUUUAACCAGAUUCUCAGGCAAUUUGAAUAUAUAUUGAACGUUGUGAAGGGCUGCUCUAGAUGAUUUUUAUUACUGUUAUGAAAGUAAUACUAAUAGUUAAAAUUAUUGAACAUUUGCUAUAUGCUAGAUACAUGUAAAUGCUUUAUCAUCAUUUACUCCGCACAACAGCCUUAUAAAGAUGUUUGCUUUUAUUCUCAUUCUGCAAACGUGCAAGUUGAAGCAGAGAGGUUAAGUAUCUUGUGCAGUGUCACACAGGCAUUAAAGCAGGAUGUGGGAUAUGAACUUUAGCAUUCCGACUGUACUUUUGGAGUCUGAGGUCCUAUCAUAAGGACCCUUCAUGUGCAUAUAUUAUUAUGUACCUGCCUUGUUGCAGCUCCAUCAUACGGAGUUUAAUGAAUUUUUUUUUUUUUUUUUUUUUUUUUUUAAUGCCUGCGCCAACUGUAGUUGGAAGUUUGUGAGCCAGGGCUCAAAUCCACGCUGACAGAGCCAGCACUGGAUCCUUAACCCCCUGUGUCACAGUGGGGAUUCUUUAGUGAAUUUUUUGUAUCACGUUUUACAGUGGCAUUUUAGUUUUCUUAUAGGGCUUAUAUUCAAGGACUGUUUUUGCUAAAAUAUUGUGUUUUAUACACAAAAAACAGAACUGGAAGUAGCUGUGAUUUGAAUAGUUUUUUAAAAAAAAUUUUCUUUUUUCUUCCUUUUUUUGGGCUACCCCUUAGCACUUGGAGUUCUUGGGCCAGGGAUCAGAUGUGGACCUAUGAGGCAGCUGCAGAAACGCUGGUUUCUUUAACCCACUGUGUUGAGCUAGGGGUAGAACCUGUGUUCUGGUGUUGCAGAGAUGCCACUGAUCCUAAUGCAGCAUAGCGGGAAUGCCUGACUAUUUGGGUUUUUAAAAAUAGAAAUCACUUAGGAGUUCCUGUUGUGGUUCAGCAGUACCAAACCUGGCCUUGCUCAGUGUGUUAAGGAUCUGGUGUUGCUGUGAGCUGUCAUGUUGGUUGCAAAUGUGGCUUGGAUCCCAUGUGGGUGUGGCUGUGGUGUAGGCCAGCAGCUGCAGCUCUGAUUUGACCCCUACCCUGGGAACUCCCAUAUGCUGUGGGCAGCUCUAAAAACCAAAAAAAAAAAAAAAAAAAA